GGCCACAUCACGUUGAGACACCGGUUCCUGUACGAUCACCGAAUUUAAACAACGUCGAGCCAGGUCAGUACCUAAAUGGGUGACAACUUGAGAAUACCAGGUUCUGUA